rnacentral:tRNA from 1 species
GCCUUCGUGGUGUAAUGGUCAGCACGCUCGGCGCGUAUUCGAGAGGUCCGUGGUUCGAGUCCCGGCAAGGGCA